UGAGAUCCCUUUAGGCUCAAACAGAUAAUGCAUUGAAUGAUAAAAACAUUGCUUUUUAUAUUCUGAUGCAGAUAGUCAGUGAGUAUAUCGCGCUACUUCAGGAUGAUGUAGAUCCGAAGAACGCUACAGAAGAGAGGCAUUGUUGCUGGCAAAUAGAAGAAGUAUCGGGUUUUGUUACCCCUGAAAAACGAAGCCCC
rnacentral:sRNA from 13 species